GGGCCGUUAACUCAGGCGGCAGAGUACCGGCCUUUUAAGCCGGGAGUCGCAGGUUCGAGUCCUGCACGGCCCACCA
rnacentral:tRNA from 1 species